AUGAGGUUGUCUUUCGGUGGUUCCAUAUGGUGUCACCUCUGGUUUUCUAUGAGCCGGUCAGGUCUUAAGAGUAUGCAUGCUUUCUGUACAAGUUAGCUCUCUAAUUUCUGUACGUGUGACCGCUGUCUGAGUCUUGUCUUGUCCUUGAGUCCUCUCUUUGCCUCUUGAAAAAUAUGUCAAAAGGAGAAGACCCCAUGCAGGAAAAAUAUGUUAGGGACUGUUCUAAUAGGAUACUUUGCUAGUAUCAUAUAAAUGUCUACCUAACCUAAGUAGGUACUGUAGUCACCUCCUUCAAUUUUGACCAACUAAAAAUAAUUGCAUUUUUAUCAUCAUUCAUUGUGUAUUUGUUUUAGAUUCCAUCUAAAUGAAUUCCACUGCAUAAGAGAGAUAAAGUACAACAUGGUACUAGUAGCAACAUUCAUUCAUAUGCAAGGUUCUGUCCCCAUCUAAUCUCAUCAGUCAUCACUAUUCUUGUGCUUUAAAUUUGUGCCUGCAAACUAGUUCAUAAUUUUAGGGUGCUUUCAUUUUCAGGUCUGCCGGUACUGGGGUUCUGGCCAAGUCAGAUUGCACGUGGCUGUAAGAGUUUGUUUGUCCUUUAAGUUCAUAACUAUAUAGUUAUUGCAUAAGUCACAAAAACUGAGGCUGUUUGCUGGUUUUGUUGUCUUCAGGACUGUCAGCACCAAAAAUUUGCAGGUGGGAGGGCAUAUUUUUGGGUUUGCCAUCUCUAAUCAUUAGGUGAUGUUGCUCGCCUUUUCGUGGUCACGGAUCCCUAACUCGAAGAUUAUCCGUGCUUAAAUUCUUGUUCGAUUAAAGGGCGUUUGACACAUGUAAUGUGUUUGAAAGUUUAAAAGUGUACCGUAAAAUGUUACUUGCGUAGAAGUAAUUUUUUCAAAGGCCAAGUUAUUUAACUAACGAACACAACGUUUGGAAUAUAAAUGCACCGUACUAAAAAUAGUGUUGAGAACUAUUUUUCCAUAGUUGAAAUUUUUA
rnacentral:lncRNA from 1 species